rnacentral:lncRNA from 1 species
CUCUUGUUCUAGGCACUAAUCUUGACACUGAGAUCAUUACUUAAUACCUGGGGGGUAUCUGUCUAAUGUUUGUUUGUUGUUUUUUUUUUUCCCUUUAUUUUUUCUCAUAAUAUAAAUUUACAUUUCAGAGUCCAUUCACAUGUGCUAACCUAGUUAUGAGCCAGCUUCACUCUUCAUGAACUUCCUGCCUACAGGCAUUUUUUGUAAAUUGCUGUAAUAUGAUAACUGGAAAUCCUUUUUACUAUCUCGAAACAGGAAAUAAACAUCCUGUUGUGAGAAGAGAAUUAGAAUGAUGCGUGAUGCCUCUUUUGUAAUUUACUCAACUUGGUAGAAUAUAUUAUGUAGGAAGGACUUUUAGGGCAUUAAAGCAAAGAUGACCAGCCAUAAAUCAACCUCUAUGAGAGCAUGCUGAAUCCCUGUUGAAUAGCACUUAGAUCAUUCUUGUUCAGCUUGAGCAUAGGUAAUCUUUUGCCUUUAAGACUGAAGAAAAAUUAUCUAGUUUAGAAAUUAUUUAGGAGUUCAGCAGAUCUCCUGGCUCUGCAUUUUGUUGAUCUUCAUGCGAAUAUUUGAAUAAUUCAUAUUUUUUGUCUUGUUUAGAAGGUGUUUCCUUAAAUGUCAGAAGUGUCUGUCUGCAGAAUGUACGUGGGGCAGGCUUUUGUAAAGUGGAGAUUGCCUUUUUAUUGGCAUGCAGAAAAGUCUUUGAUAUCUGGGUUCUUGAGGAAAAUUGAGGUGUGGAAUCGAGAAUUGGGCAGACCCAGUAACUUCAGAGAGGCUGCUUGUAGAACCCAUCUUGUUUUGGAUGAGAUCUGGCUAUGUAGAAAAAAAGUGCAAAGCAAUCUACAUCAAAACAGAGAGUAGGUAAGAGUCUGUCCAUGCUCCAGCUUGGAUUUUGGUGUGAAAAAAGGGUGGAAAAAAAAGGAGAAACAAUGACAUUUGCACAAGAAAACAUAGAAAUGGAAGAAAUAAAAUCCCCAGAGGAAGAAAUUAGGUGGAAAAAUUCAUGACUAUAAAGUAACCUGCGUUGGAGGCCAGAUGUAAUAGUUGUGGUGAGACCCACAGAGGCAAAGCAGAAAAACUAGAGCAUGAAGACUCAGAGCAAACAUCGCUCACUGUUGCUUCUGUAGCUAAGAUGGUGAAAGGUUAUCAAGAUGUUUUCAGAGGACUGGGAUAUCUUCCAGGCAUAUUUCACCUUGAAAUACAGAUAGUGAUUCUGCCAAGAUGGCACCUGCCUCACUGCGUAACCACUGCACCAAGAGUGAAAGAGAAGAAACAGCCAUCAAAAUGAACGGGAAGAUGUGGUACCAGAGCUAUGGUCACAGAAUCCCUGAGCAUUGACUUG